rnacentral:lncRNA from 1 species
GCCUCCAUCUUACCAUUGGUCUUUGGCCUUCGACUACCAAGGGGCUUAAGGACGAGGAGAGAGAGAGAGAGAGAAGGGAAGGGUUAGCUAUCAUUUGUUGGCUUAUCACCAUAUGCUUUAAAAAAUGGAAUGGGAUCCUCUGUGGUACUCAAAAAGUACCGUAUAGUGUUGUGCAUAUAUUGGGACGUCCAUCAAAAGAUGGAUGGUUAUGUAAUGUUAUCUAAACUAUUCAAAUAUCUUUGGAG